rnacentral:lncRNA from 1 species
GCGCGUCCAUCUUGGCGCUGCGCGCACCAAACUGGAUAGCCCGUUUGGGCAGCGCGGCCGCAUACGAGAGACCGCGCUGAUGCGCUAGCUGACGUAGGAGUUUCUUGUCGCCCAGCGCAUCGGCCAUGUCCGCUUUGGCCUGCACCGGCAGCGCCGCGAGAAACGCCCGUACGGAUCGGGCGAGAUAGGGGUAUCGUGCCUCGCGCGAAUGCGCACUCAGCACGCGGUCGUCGCGCCCGAGAUUGCGCGUCGGGAGGCGAUCGAGAUCCAGCUGCAGCUCGGCCGUGAGCGCCUCGUCGCCGCCACGCCGCCACGCCUGCCGGUGGCGCGCGUAGCCACCGAGGAGCUCGUCGGCGCCGAGCCCAGAGAGAAGGACGCGCGCUGGCGAGCGGUAAGGACGGCCAUCGACCUGCCCCUCGCCUCGUGCAGCAAAGUAGAGUGCGCACGCAAUGCUCAGGUCCAUCACGGUCGCAGAGGGGUGCAUGAGUGCCUGGACCGCCGGUGUGUGCGCUUCGUACUCGCUGUACGGCACAUUGACCUCGACCAUGUUCCAUGUGCGCGUUGGAUAAAGCCGGCGCAGGUCCUCAGCGCUUUUCCGCGCGGCCACACGGUCCGGCACCGCGUACAUGUCGUGUGGAAAGGUGCCCGGCUCGGCUUGCGCGCCGGACGCCCAGGCGGCCGCUAUCGAGCGGGGAUUCUCGAACGCGACAUUGAGCAGGUCGAUGGGGGACUCGGGCGGCAGGUGCUCCGCCACCAGCGCGGCCAGGACCGUGCAGUCCAGGCCACCCGAGAAGAGCAAUGCCACAGGGGCAGCCCGCGGCGUGUCGCGGAGCGCUUGGACGCGUAAGCGCACACUUUCGCUGAGCACCUGCUCGAGGAGGGGAAGGGCCUGGUCCACAGUGCACUCGAGACUGGGAGGGGCCAGCUCGAGGCGGCGCGCAUAGGGCGAGCAUCGCUCGAGGGGCACAGGAUCUUUGUUCGCGCGCAGCGACAGGCGCCACAGCGACGUGCAGGGCACCUCGGUCCAUGGCACAUGUGCCUGCACACUCUCGACGCUCGCGGCCGACGCGAGCAAAUGCGCGUUCGCAGGCUGAGCAUACAGCAGUGACCGCCGUCCGAGCGGGUCGCGGCCAUAGUACAGGGUAUCAUUCCGACGCUGCGUUAGCCGAGCCACGUACAUCAAGCAGCACAAAGGCAUAGGGGCCGUCCAUAUGCG